rnacentral:rRNA from 1 species
AUGUUUCGACGCGCCAAGACCACGGCGAUAGCCACGCCACCCUCUGACGGCGAGGUGCGGGUGCAUAAGGUUGAGAAGAUCGAGCUCGUCCGCAACCUUGUGACCAAGCCGUCGAUAUACUACGGCGCCAACCCGAUGACAGCAUCAACCAUGAGGCGAGGUGCAGCCGGUCACGGCACGGCUGCCAACACCAGUAAGGCUACCGGCGCCUCGAGGCCGGGGGUCGUGUCCAUAGAGGAUAUUAACAAGAGGUCUGAGGCUUACAUCCGGGAGAGGAAGAGGCUCUUCCAGGGUCUGAAGUAG